AUUAGAUACCCUGGGUAGUCCACGCUGUAAACGAUGGAUGCUAGGUGUUGGGCUUUUAAGUUCAGUGCCGCAGCAAACGCGAUAAGCAUCCCGCCUGGGGGGUACGUUUGCAAGAAUGAAACUCAAAGGAAUUGACGGGGGCCCGCACAAGCGGUGGAGCACGUGGUUUAAUUCGAUGCUAACCGAAGAACCUUACCUGGGUUUGACAUCCACAGAAGGCGUUAGAGAUAAUGCUGUGCCUGAUUUAUCAGGAGCUGUGAGACAGGUGCUGCAUGGCUGUCGUCAGCUCGUGCCGUGAGGUGUUGGGUUAAGUCCCGCAACGAGCGCAACCCCUAUUUCCAGUUGCUAACGGUUGAAGCUGAGCACUCUGGAGAGACUGCCAGCGAUAAGCUGGAGGAAGGUGGGGACGACGUCAAGUCCUCAUGGCCCUUAUGGGUAGGGCUUCACACGUCAUACAAUGGUCGGAACAGAGGGCAGCGAAGCCGUGAGGCGGAGCCAAUCCCAGAAAACCGAUCGUAGUCCGGAUUGCAGUCUGCAACUCGACUGCAUGAAGUCGGAAUCGCUAGUAAUCGCGGAUCAGCGUGCCGCGGUGAAUACGUUCCCGGGUCUUGUACACACCGCCCGUCAAACAAUGGGAGUGGUGUUUACCAGAAGUCGUUAGCCUAACCGCAAGGAGGGCGGCGACCACGGUGAGCACCGUGACUAAUGUUAAGUCGUAACAAGGUACC
rnacentral:rRNA from 1 species